AUUGAACGCUGGCGGCAGGCCUAACACAUGCAAGUCGAGCGGAUGAAGGGAGCUUGCUCCUGGAUUCAGCGGCGGACGGGUGAGUAAUGCCUAGGAAUCUGCCUGGUAGUGGGGGAUAACGUCCGGAAACGGGCGCUAAUACCGCAUACGUCCUGAGGGAGAAAGUGGGGGAUCUUCGGACCUCACGCUAUCAGAUGAGCCUAGGGCGGAUUAGCUAGUUGGUGGGGUAAAGGCCUACCAAGGCGACGAUCCGUAACUGGUCUGAGAGGAUGAUCAGUCACACUGGAACUGAGACACGGUCCAGACUCCUACGGGAGGCAGCAGUGGGGAAUAUUGGACAAUGGGCGAAAGCCUGAUCCAGCCAUGCCGCGUGUGUGAAGAAGGUCUUCGGAUUGUAAAGCACUUUAAGUUGGGAGGAAGGGCAGUAAGUUAAUACCUGGCUGUUUUGACGGUACCAACAGAAUAAGCACCGGCUAACUUCGUG
rnacentral:rRNA from 1 species